CUCUCUCGAUCUCUCUACACGGUGAGAAGAUACAAAUACUCAAAAUCCUACAAAAAACAAGAUCGAAGGAAUCUCAUUCAUCUUAUUCUUCUUCUUUAUUCUUCUUACGUUCUUUGUUUUUAUGCUUCUCAGAAUGAGAAAUUUUUCAUAUCAAUUAAGAAGAAAUCUAGGGUUUCAGUCGAAGAACGAGAAGAUUCGGAUGAGGUUUGAAUGGAUCUGAAAUUGAAGAUGGGUUUGAUUCAGAUGAGGUUUUCGGUUUUGUGGAUUGUGAAAUGAAGAUGAGGAUCUGUAUCUUAUCUUACAGGAAAGGAGAAGAGGUUGAUGCUGCUACUUUUAAACAGAUGAAAUUAGGAAUUAGGGUUCCUGCAUCUGUUGUUGCUGAUAAUUUGAGAGGGGUUUCGUGGAAUCAAAAUCUGUAGCUGUUAUAGUUGAAGAUCGAAGAUGGAGGUUCUAGUGUUUUCCACUGUUAAAGGAAGAACGGAUUGAUGAAGAAAUUGAGUUAAAAGAGAAAAGAAGAUGAGGUUGAAUUCAGAGGUUUGCGCUAAAGGGUUCUGCUGGAUUUGUUUUGAAUCUCAGGGUAUUUCUUUAAUUCAUUUGAUUAUUAUCUUUGUUUAUGUUUUUGGCCUUUUUGGUAAACCCUAGUCUAAUUUGUGAUCUUGGAUUUUGAAUUUAGGAGUCUGAUUUGGUUAUUUAAUACAAAAAGUGUUAAUGUAUUUGAAUUAUUAUGACAAUAGUUUUGGAAAUCGAAUUGGCAGAGCUGUUAAUGUAUGAAACACAGGUUCAUGACAGAAAAGAAGAUAGGUUAUGCUGUUGCGGUAGAGAUGGGAGCAAGCAGCUAGUUAUGGAUGAGUCUGAGCUGAAACAGAUGGUGGUGACCAUGGCAAGCUGCAAUGGACUGAAAUAGAUGUAUAUGUAGGAUGCAGUUGCAGGUAGAAUCUUGUGUGUUUUGGGAGCAGAAGCUGAUGUUGCUGGUAGAAUGAGAUGUUGAAGUACAGCUGAGAUGAAAUGAGUGGUUAUUGGUGGGUUGUUGAAAGCCUGAGAUGCUGCUGCUGCGAAGAAUAGAUUAAGGAAAUGGUCGCAGUCAUGAUGAAGCGGACUUGGAAUUUCAGGUGCAAGCUGGAAUGUGAUGGCAGUUGUGGUUGAUGCUGAAAUGAAGUGCAGGAAAUGGGUUGUGCGGGCUGAAGGGAAGGUGGCAGUAAUACUGGAGGGCUGCGAAUUGAUGUCGGACUUGAAUGUUACAGGGAAGAAAUGAUGUUGGUGUUGAUGCCGUUGCUGUUAAGGCACUCAGAUGCGAGCUGAUGCUGAUUGAUUCGUGUUUGCUAAUCAUGAUUUAUCUUUUCCUCCUGCUUACUUGAUGACCUUAAUCGAACCGCUAUAAAAAUUUGUUUACAGAAUUUAAUGUUUUUGUUUUCAGAAAUUGAUACUAGUGAUAGUGGAUUAAACACAUCAAAUAGGUGCUUCCAGAUUACAAUCUCUCCACAAUAAUCAGGAAGAAGACGGUGAGGAGACAUCUAAAGUUUUGCUGCCUUUAGUUUUUGCUCACACUGAAAAGUACCCAGAUGAGCCACCACUUCUGCACGUGAAAAGUUUAAAAGGAAUACCGUUAGAGCAUCUCCAGGCGUUAAAACAAAAGCUUGAGGAGGAGUAUGGGUUGGGCAUAAUGAACUUAAAGCGAGCGAUUAUGAAGAACGUGAUGAAGAAUUCUUGGCAACUAGUGUUUGGGAAGUAUCUGCGAGCUUUGAGUAAGUUACUAUGUAGUGUAUGAGCUGAACUUAUAAGUAAAAAUGAUUUGGAACUUUAUGUAUUCCCUUAGAGUCUGAUACUUCACAAAAUAUAAUUUGGUAUUUAGAGAAUUUGAGUUCUUUUUUGAUGUGAAUUGAUUGAACGUGAUGUUAUGAAUGUAUUGAUGGAAGAAACUAUUUUUGAGUGUGGACGAUGGAUAAUGUAAAGUGUAUGCAGUUGGAAUUCCGACGUACUUU